AUGAACGCUGGCGGCGUGCCUAAUACAUGCAAGUCGAGCGAACGGACGAGAAGCUUGCUUCUCUGAUGUUAGCGGCGGACGGGUGAGUAACACGUGGAUAACCUACCUAUAAGACUGGGAUAACUUCGGGAAACCGGAGCUAAUACCGGAUAAUAUUUUGAACCGCAUGGUUCAAAAGUGAAAGACGGUCUUGCUGUCACUUAUAGAUGGAUCCGCGCUUCAUUAGCUAGUUGGUAAGGUAACGGCUUACCAAGGCAACGAUGCAUAGCCGACCUGAGAGGGUGAUCGGCCACACUGGAACUGAGACACGGUCCAGACUCCUACGGGAGGCAGCAGUAGGGAAUCUUCCGCAAUGGGCGAAAGCCUGACGGAGCAACGCCGCGUGAGUGAUGAAGGUCUUCGGAUCGUAAAACUCUGUUAUUAGGGAAGAACAUAUGUGUAAGUAACUGUGCACAUCUUGACGGUACCUAAUCAGAAAGCCACGGCUAACUACGUG
rnacentral:rRNA from 1 species